rnacentral:rRNA from 1 species
GGGGGGGGGGGGCGGGGUGCGUAGGCCGGGCGGGUCGAACGGGACGGCCCGGCUGGGUGGGGGUGCGCGAGUGGCGAACGGUUGAGUAACACGUGAGUCACCUGCCCUGUACUGUGGGAUAACUUCCGGAGACUGGUGGUCAUACCGGAUAGGUGCUCCUGAUGUAUGGUGUGGGUUGUAACGUUUAGGCGGUCGGGUAUGGACUCGCGGCUUAUCAGUUUGAUGUUGGGGUAGUGGCUUACCAAUGCUUUGAUUGGUAGCCGGCCUGGGAGGGUGACCUGACCCAUGGGGACUGAGAUACGGCCCAGACUACUAAGGGAGGCAGCAGUGGGGAAUAUUGCAGAAGGGGCUGAAGCCUGAUGCAGCAGAGCCGCGUGUGGGAUGACGGCCUUCGGGUUGUAACCCGCUUUCGCCUUUGACGAAGCGUGAGUGACGGUAAUGGGUAAAGAAGCACCGGCUAACUACGUG